GGCUGGAAGGGGUAGGUGGUUGGGUGGGGGACAGAGGAUAACAUUUGAAAUAUUAAUAAAAAAUCAAUAAAAAUAAGUGAAUAAAGGGAAAAUGUCUGGUUUGAAUGAAGAUAUGGGGCUACAGCUGUCACUGUGUGUUACUUUAAUAUACAAUUUCCUGCCCCUCAGAACACUUGAGGAAAGAGCUAUUUUUGUGAGGACAGAUGGAGUGACAUCAUUCACAUUACAGUUCUUGUUUCUGUUACCCCUUUUGAUAUUAACCUGCAUUUGACUUCUCCCAUAGCCUCUGGGCCUCAGGUUAGUAUGACUUUCUACUGGGUCUUGAGCAGAGAAACAUAUGAGGAGAGAAAGUAGCAUUCAAGAGUUUCCAGAUUUUACUGGGAAAUUUAAUCAAGGUGUUCUGUCCUGUGUGGUACAGGGGUUGGGAUGGAGGAAGGUAGGUGGAGGAUUGUGGCAAGAGUGCAUAAGCUGAAGGUUAGAUGCUGUCUGGGUAAAGUGACAGGCAAGAUGGGAAAUACUUGUAUUCCCUUGUAUAAACCUGUAUAUGCUAUGUAUAUAAGCACUUGUCUUAGGAAUUCUAUUUACUACACUGAGACAUUCAGAUGAUUCAAGACCAUACUUGUCCUAUUUACUUGGUGGGAUAAGGAGAAGGGGAUGCUUUUCUGAGUUCAGUGGGAGUAAACUUUCAGAAGGCAGUGAGUCAAGAGAAAAAGCCAAGGUUGACACACUUAAGCAUAGACACUUUCUGGAAAGCUCCCUGCCCUGUUCCCUAAAGUGUGGAAAUAGAUGUUAUUCAGAAAGCCUAUUGCAUGCUAUUUUAUUGCUCCAUCCAUGUUUAUUAAUUAGAUAUGGCCCUUUGGUCUGGCUGACUUUUGGUUCUCCUGAGAAACCCCCAUGCCAGUUUCAUUGUUCCUACAGUUUAAGCCAAGUGACAUGCAGGGUGUAGCCUGGGAACUGCUCCCAAGUUCCUCAGAAAAACACUUCACUUUCAGAAUGACUAAGGCGGAACCCGAGGUGCCAUGGUCUGAAUGUUUGUGUCCUCUGAGGUAAUUAUGUUGUAACUGAAUCCCUAGAACAUCAGUACGGGUGGAGCUUUAGGCAGACAGGCAAUGAGGGCCCCACCCUCAAUGAUGAGUUUAGCACCUUCUGAAAAAGACUGGAAUCUCUCAGACACUGGAUCACCAACUUGGCAGCAUACCCCAGCUGAGAUGAGGCCUCCAACACCUAUACAGCAGAGGACCCCGCCCGGGGGCUGGAGGGUGCUGUAUUCAGUCAGAGAAGAUGCACCUAACUCUCAAGAGACUGGAGGCCCAGGAAGUUUAGAGUCUACAGGUUUAUGUCUUUAACCAGUGCUAGUAUGUUUUGGGUUUUGUGUUAGUCACCGAGGAGGAAUAUGAGAGAAUCAUGGGCCAUCUUAAUCAAGAGAACGAGCAGUCUACGUGUAUUCACAAGAACCACCACAAAACUAUCAACUAAAUUAAAGGAAAUCAGACUUUCAGGAGUCAGCCUGAGGGUGGACCCAGCGGCACAGCAGAUUCACUCUUAUCACAAGAAUCAGUGGCAGAGAUAUGGACAAGAAUGACACAGACAGUCCUGUGUAGCUCCUCAUUGCUAUUGGAAGGUGAAAUGGCUCAGAUACGAGCAUUGAAACAGAGAGAAGCUAAAUCAUUUUCAUAAUGGACAUUUCCAUGAAGAGAUAAAGCUGAGAUCUGAACCCAACUAUUUGGACUCCAAGUUUCUGACUCUCAGAUGUACAUUCCUGGACAAAGCAGAAUCUUUUAGUAUACUAGCUUUCUGCUAGAAUGGAAAUAAUUAUGUUGUAUUGGCAUAUAUCUAAGAUAAAUAAGUAGUAUUUUCUUCUCUUACUGUAGAUUAUGGAAUUGGAACUGAGAUAUAAAAGUAUCCAGAAAUUAUGAAGGACAUAAAGAGCAGGGUUAAGAUUUCAGCCAAACUUGGUUCUACCACCUUAUAUGAGUUUGCUUUUGGUUACUGUGAUCCAAGUAACUGAGAGAGAAAGAGAUAUUUGACUCAUAGCUUCAUAAGCAUCAGCCCAUAUUUGUUUGGUUCUGUGUGCUUGAACAGGAUAUUGUGGCAAACAAGGAAUGGAACUGUUUAGUUUGUGAUCAAUCAGGAAGAAGUAUGAUGGGGGACAGCCAAAGAUAAGAGAACCCUCUUUCUUUGAGAAAAUGAGUCACUUUCUUCAAUUCCUUUUGUCUCCUAAGUUUCCAUCAUCCUAUAAAGUACUAUCUAAUCAUGAGCCUUUGGUGUAGAGCAUUUCAUAUUCAAAUUGUAGCUCCAGUUUCUGCCUCCCCAACAUAGUACUUUUAUUGAUUAUUUGGGAAUUUAACACAAUUCUCCCAGAUUACAUUCACUUCCCAGUCUUACUAAUCCCCUCCCCUGAUCCUUUUGGCCUCCCCUCCUCCAAAAAACAAAAUAGGAAAUCAAAUCCAAUUUGUGUUGUUCAUAUAUUCACUGGAGCAUGGUCAAACACAUGGUGGCCAGCUUAAAAAAAUGUAUCUUUCCCCUAAUCCCUAACUUCACCAGAAGCCAUCAAUGGUGAAGAGCUACACUCCAGCAUCUCUCUAACAACUUUUAAUAUUUCAGUGGCUUUCUGUCUAGACUGUUUCUUUUGUGGGGGUUGCAGGUGGGGAGGGAAAAGUCACAUGUCAUUCUCAAUAGCUCGUCCACCAGAUGGUUGCUAAGAUAAUGACAGUCAAGAGAGUCGGAAGGUGACAGAAGAAGCAGCAGAGGAAGCAGAAGCAGAGGAGGAGGACAAGGGGGAGGACAAAGGGGUAAGGACAGGGAAGGAGGAGGGAGAAGAGGAGAGAGAAUGCAAGAUUUGCUUUCCUGAGGCCUUCCUCCUCUUUGGGACUUGGAUUAAUAGAAUAAUGUAGAAUUUAAAGACAGUCUGCUCUGCAUGAACACCCUGGAGCAAAUUCCCUUAUCCUUAUUACUCAUACUGUCUACAUGUCACUUCGCAUUUAUAUAGUGGUCCAUUGGUAACAUUGUCUGAUCAGAAGCCGGAUCCAUUUCCCUGUUUAAACACGAAGUUGCCCACAAUAUGGAAAUGUUGUAGAAAAUGACCUGUACUGAAUAGGAUUUUGUUUUUACAGGAAAAUUAUAACUCGUACUUGCAGGUUUUAAAUUUAAGACUUUUUUCUCCUUUCAUAUAAAUGGAAAUAAUAUUGAACUAUUGUUAAAUGCUCCAAAGGGCAUGAGAGUAGAGAAAUGAGUAAAGAGGGGGAGGUGCAGGCUGACAUUUAUGCUGACUCAGCUUAGAGCUGCAAGAUGAAAGGAAGGAGUCUAAGCUGUCUCGCAGGAUUCCAUACCAAUCAUGUUAAUUGGAAACUGGAAGGAAGAAGUGGUCACAAUCAACAGAUUUAUCACCCAAAGGGCAGAGCAGUUCAUAAAUUUAAUCCAGCAAAAGAAUUAGGAAAUAGAAUUGAUGCUUAUAAGAAUCAGGGCAGGGGUGGUGAGACCUCUCCAAAUAACCUUUCCCAGGCAGACGGCUGGAAGUGCUUGAAUGUAUUUUAUUCGAAGCUAUUAGAAAUAUGAAAAGAGGCCUCUCUCUCCCAGCCCCUGGCUGAAGCAUUGUAACUUCUUUUUUAUAGUCUUUAUAAAAGAAGAGCAAUAAAGAGACACAAACAGGGUAGUAAAGUUUAAUGGUGAUAAAAUCCAGACACCUGAAUAUAUGUAAUUUAUUUUUCCCAAGACCUCACCCCAUUGAGGUUGCUAUUAAUUAGCAUGGAAAUGUGUUACAGAGCCAAUUUUGCAUGAGGUUUGUUAUCUUGGGUACUUUAUGAAAAGGAAAAAACAAAACAACCAGAAAAAACGUUUGUCACUUCAUUGCAGCGAGGUGGAGGAAAGUCACCAAAAACAGCCUGGGGGCUCCAUGUGCAAAAAUGAGAUGCCAUCUCUCCAGAGUCCCAUCAGAAGCUCCUUCCACCAGAGGAAGGCGUCCCUGUAACAAAGAAAUGCAAUCCAUCCCGUGUUGGCUAGUAUUAGUUGUUCACUCCAUAUAAUCCAGAAUCACCUGGGAAGGGAGUUUCAGCAUGGGACUGUCAAGAUCAGAUUGGCCAGUGAGGAUGUCUAUGGAGUUGUCUUGAUUAUCCUAAUUGAUGUAGGAAGAGCCAGUUCACCGUGAGCCACCCCAGUCCCUGAGUAUGGGUCCCGUACUACACAACAAUGGGGAGACUGAGCUAAACAGCAAACAUGCAUUUGCUUUUUCUGCUGUGGCUAUGGGUCUACUGUGAUUAGCUUUUUAAGUUUCUGCUGCCUUGACUCCACCACUGUGAUAGACAGUAAUCUAGAAGUGUGAGCUAAAAGAAACUCUAUCUUUCUUAAAUUUCUGUUGUUUGGGGAGAAUUUUAUCGCAGCAACAGGAAUGAGAUGAAGAUACCUCCUGAGUUCCACCAAGAGCAUCUUUCAACUGUGAGGGAGGCAGCAAUCAUGUGAGGAAACCCAAUAUCUGAGGUCCUACCACCAUGAUAACGAAUGGAUCUGAGAACCAGAAGGCUUUACACAAAGCCUUCUAUAAUUAGUAUAUGGAAAACUAGUUGGCAAAGAAAAAUGUUGGGCUCUUUCUCCUUUUCCCUUACGAAACAACCCCAAACCAGUCCCAGGUGUCACUGCUGGAGCAGAACUACAGAGUGUGAAUGUGACCCAUGGUCCAUUAGAACAUUACACACACAUUUAAUAUGCCAAUGAAACCUGUGAGACCUAAGGUUCCAGGUAAAGGACAUACAGGAGAAAUCUGAGCUACUAGACAACUGUCCAAAUUUUAAUUCUCUGUUGACACUUGAGCUAUAUAGAACUAGCUUUUCUUAAGUUUGCUUCCUCUCUUGGAAAUUUGUGAUCUUUUAAUAAACUACCUCUGCUCAUUUGGCAA